UAAUACAUAGGGGGCGAGCGUUAUCCGGAAUUAUUGGGCGUAAAGCGUGCGUAGGCGGUUUGUUAAGUUCGAUGUAAAAUCCCACAGCUUAACUGUGGAGGGUCAUUGGAAACUGGCAAGCUAGAGUACGGUAGAGGUAAGUGGAAUUCCAAGUGGAGCGGUGGAAUGCGUAGAUAUUUGGAGGAACACCAGUGGCGAAGGCGGCUUACUGGGCCGGAACUGACGCUGAGGCACGAAAGCGUGGGGAGCAAACAGG
rnacentral:rRNA from 1 species